AUUGCCUUAGUAACGGCGAGUGAAGCGGCAACAGCUCAAAUUUGAAAUCUGGCUUCGGCCCGAGUUGUAGUUUGAAGAGGAUGUCCCUGGGGCAGCCUCUUGUCUGAGUUCCCUGGAACGGACGUCGUAGAGGGUGAGAGCCCCGUACUGGUUGGACACCAAGUCUUUGAAGCCUUUGACGAGUCGAGGAGGUUGGUAAUGCUGCUCAAAAUGGGAGGUAAUUCCAUCCUAAAGCUAAUACCGGCGAGAGACCCAUAGCGCACCAGUCAAGGGUCGAAGAUGAAAAGCACUUUGAAAGAAGGUUAAAAAUUACGUGAAAUUGUUGAAAGGGAAGCGAUUGUGACCAGACUUGAUUUUGGUGAUCACAUGCCUUCUUGUGGGUGUGUCCCCUCGCUUAUCGGGCCAGCAUCCCCUUGGAGAGGGGGAUACGACUUCGGGAAUGUGCCUUUCCUCGGUGAAGUGUUAUAUCCUGUUCAGAAGCUGGCUGCGGGAACCGAGGUUCGCGCAUCUGCAAGGAUGCUGGCGUAAUGGCCCCCAACAGCACCGUCUUGAAACACGGA
rnacentral:rRNA from 1 species